CGUCGCAUCCUGGGGCUGUAGCAGGUCCCAAGGGUUGGUCUGUUCGCCCAUUAAAGCGGCACGCGAGCUGGGUUCAAACCGUCGUGAGACAGGUUGGUCUCUAUCCGGUGUGGGCGCGAAAAGGUUUGAGGGGAUAUUCCGCUAGUACGAGAGGACCGUGGAGUGCGAAUCUCUAGUGCAUGAGUUGUUGAAACUUGCUUGCAAGUUAAGGCAUAGCUCAGUAGCUACAUUCGUUUAGGAUAAGCGCUGAAAGCAUAUAAGCGCGAAGCCGUCCCCAAGAUUAGACCUAUUAGUUUGUGCUUGCACAAACUAGACGAUUCCCUUGCAGAACACAAGGUUGAUAGGCUGCAGGUGUAAGCAUGGCAACAUGUUCAGCCGAGCAGUACUAAUGAUCGUUAGAUUAUUUGUC
rnacentral:rRNA from 1 species